AAUUAAUUUUUAUUUAGUUUUUUACUUAUUCCCAGGUACUUUCACCCAUAGAAACUUUUAUAUUAGCCUUGGUUGUAGGUGGCAAUGCAUAAAACCAGAAGUUGAAAUUUUUAUUGGCAUUUAGCCAAUGAGAUCCACCCAUUAGUAGAUUAAACUUUUUCUUUCUCAGAAGAAAACAAUUUGCUGAUUUAUAUUACAGUUAGUAUCCUGAGAGCUUGAUGUAACUUCAGAUGUUUGUAAGUACUGCUUAUUUCAAAUUGGUUACAUAUUACUUGCAGCGAAUUAAGGGAUAAAAGAGAGAACGGCUGGAUAGAGGAAUUUUGAUAAGUCAGGAACCUUUUCCUGGAAAUUAUGCCAUUCUCUUAGAUUGGCCCAGCAGAUCCAGAGCCUCUCUCCCUGUGCACUGACAUCGAAUGAAGCCACAUACGUAUGCCGCAGGCUGUAGAUGAGUCUCACAUAAGCAGACAUGUCCUAAGCCAUGAACCAGUUUCAGAUCUAGAAAUUGAUGAUUGAAGGAGAGACCCUUGAAGGAGGCCUCUACAAUGCUACCUCAAGAAGGUUAUUUUCUCAGCCCGGGAUUUGCAAACUACUGCCUGUAAGCCCAAUGCGAUCAUUCUCGUUCAUGUAUACAGUCUAUGGCUACGCUUGAAUUGCAAUAUCAGGUUUCUAUAGUUGCAACAGAGACUGUGUGGCACAAAACCUGAAUGUUUUAACUAUCAGGACUUUUACAGAAAAAGUAUGCUUACACUGUUCUACACCAAUCAAUUUUUGUUAAUAUGUUAUACAUUCCUGUAUAGUGCAGGAGAUGAAUUUAAUUAUAUUUACUGUAUCACUCUUGUGACAAAUUUAAUAAUAACAAAAUCCUUCUGCCCUAAAAGUCUCAGAAAUUUGAAACAGUAUAUAUCAGGAAUGGAGAAUUAUAGGCCAGAAGAUAGAAGGCUUCAAAAGUCAAUUAUGAAGAAAAUCUAAUGUAUAUAAUGAUGAUACUAGCUAAGAUUAGCUGAGAGCCUCAGAAAUGCCAGACAUUGUGCUAGAGCACUUUACAAGCAUUAGGCCAUGUCAUCCUUCCAUCACUCUGACAUAGUUAAACCAAGAAAAUGAGAAGAGAAAAUAAUAUGUUUCCCAAGGUCACAUAGCUAAUUAGUAACUGGUACCCAACUCAAAUUUGACAUCAAACUCUGUAGUACACCUAUUGUUAAUUGUUAAAACACUUGCUAUGAUAAAGAACAACAUAUUAGUAAGAGUGUUUUUUACACUACUAUAUGAUAUUUUAUAUUAUUUUACAAUGAAAUCAGAAAGUGAAAUUCAAUUACUUUUCACUAUUAGUCAUGCUGCUGACAUCUUAAAUUCUCUAUGUAGUAAUCGGGGCUCAAACCCACACUAUUGUAUCAUUUAUAACAAAGAUUUGGUAUGAUCCCAGAAAGCUGAAAGAGUAUAGUUACCAUCCUGUCAGGGCCUUCGCUUGAUGUCUCUUCUGACUAUACUCAUGUAUUACAUAGGCUGACAGUGUUGGGUGAGUUCAUGUGUCUAAUUAGAGUAGUCUCAUCAAUUGGGGGAAAAUAAAUCAGGGGCUCUAUGUCAAAGAUUGGUUAUAUUUGGUGGACACUCCAGGUACAAUUUCCUAUACUGAUAAAAACUUAACAUUUUUUCCUUGAAAUUGAGAAAGUAAUUUCUAUAAAUGACACCUGAGAUCGUUUGAAAUGAAAUUCAGAAAAUCAGAGAACAAUCUGGCUGCCUUAACUGCUUGGCUGAAAAACAUUGCCUUCUCAGGAUUUAGCUCAGGAUAUGUCCUCGGGGACAUAUUGUUAGAUUUUUGGAGAAGGUGGAAUAACAUCAGACUAGUGUGAUACCACAGGUUUAGAAUAGUUUCAAGGACAUGCAAACUUUUCGGAUAUUAUUAUCAACUUUUCAGUACAUGAGGGCAUUAAUGAUGCAUUUUGAAAAUGAGUAAAAAAAUCAUCAACUUUGUAAUCAUCAAGAUAGUACUCCUAUAUUUAACACAUGCCAUCACGUACCCUUUGAAAAAAUGCAGUUAUGUAUAACAACUAAUUUUUGGGGGCAUUUGGAUGAAUGAGUAAAUGAUAUGGCUAAAUCUAAAUCUUAGGAAACUCUGGUUACAGGGAACCAUUUUCAGAAAACGAAUCAAUAAAUAAAAUAUUGAUAAUAGAACUAAUUCCAGUCAAUAGAAUAAUUUAUUCUCUGGAAGUAUCUAGGUCAUUUUUAUUGAAGCUGCUAGAGAUAUGUAUGAUUUCCUCAGCUCCUAAGUAGAUGAAGUGCAUAAUGUAAAUUAUAAAAUUUUUUCUUGUUACUCAACAACAUUAUUUUUCAGAGGAAUUUAGUUUUGUACUCAUGAAAGUGACAGAAAUUCUUUGCAUUUAGUAAGAUUAUUAAAUUGUCAGUAUCUAGGGCCAUAAGCUCUAACCUUGUUUGUAUAACAGUUGGAACACAGGGGCUGUUAAUGAUUUAAAAUCCUUACAUUAUUCUACCAACUAAUUAUUCUAAAUGCCAUAUAAAAGAUUCUUUCCACUCUCGUUGAGCAGAUGCACACUUGAUUUGCUCUUAUUAGAAUUAUGCACAGCAUAGGAAAAAUGUCAAAAUUCCAAAAGAUAAAUUUUAUUUUGUUGGAUAGAAAACCAUUCAUCUUAAUUAUUUUUGACACCUUUUGCAUUAUGUUAUGAGUAUCUCAAGAGAGAAAAGAGAGCUCAUCUCCUUUAAAAGCAGUUUAUUGAGAGUGGCAUGCUAUUGUCAUUAUCUAAGAAUCCUACACCCUACUUUAAAAAUCUAGGAAAAUAAUAAUAAAAAAAGACAUAGUUUUAAGAAAAUUCAUCUGUGCAAAGCAAGAUAUCAUGUCAAAUAUUUGUAGCUAAUAAAGUAUUUUUCUUAAAUGCAUAUAAAAUACAAAACUGCAUUCAACAACUAUUUUUCUUAGAUACAUGUGACAUAUAACUUGCAAAUUGUCAAAUUUAAAAUAAGAAGUUCUCAAACAAUUGUAUUUAAAUAUGAGGUAAUCGUAUGUAUGUUAUGGUUAAGACAUGACAUCCAUUGAUCUUAGUAUUGGAAAAUAUUCAAUUGCCUCCUAUCAUCAUCAAUUGUCAGUUUGAAAUGACACGCCUAUUAGGAUGGCACAUGAUUAGGCAUAGUUACAAUCACAACUAUUUAUUCAAGGAUCUCUGUCAAUGAGAAUAAAGAGCAAAGCAUGAUUAAUAGAAGGCAAUUGUGAAUACACCAGAGGUUAGACUUUUCAUAGUGACUAGGGUGGGUUAAGUUUACAUAUCACCUGAAGGUGUGUGAAGAAGGCUAAAGAAAAGACAGUAUCAACAGUGAAAGGGACCAUUGAAAAUAUAGUGAUCUGAAGCAAUUGGGGAGUUUGGGAGGCAUGAACAAUAAAUAUUAGUUAGAUAUCACAUCUGACUUAGACAAAAAAUUUCAGAAAUAGAAUCUGGGAGAAAAGUCAGUUAUGUUUAUGUGUGUGUGUGUGUGUGUGUGUGUGUGUGUGUAUGUGUGUGUAAAUUGAGCAAGAUAUAAACACACAACUAUAUCAGAAUGCAGAGAAGGGAUUUCUGAGGAAUAACCCUGAGGUACUAUUGAUUUCUGUACAUGAAAUAUAAGGAUCUUAUACUCAUUCCUCUUCUUCCUUCUACUCAAUUUAGCAUGCUCUCAACAAGAAUAAUUGGCCCAAAUAUUCUCUAUUUUCCUGUAGACUGCUUUUGAAGCCUAUAAUAUCUAUUGAUCACUACAUGAAUACCAAACACCUUAUUCAUAUUUUUAGCUUGAUUUUAGGACUCCUCAUCUUUGCUUUCAAAGUUUUCCUAACUGUGACUGCACAUUACUAGCUAACUAUAUCAGCUCCUGCUCCAAUAAAUACAUGCUAACCAAGUUAAGUGUACCUCUCCCUGCCCCUUCUUGCUGCUGAAGUUGUAUUCUUUCCCCACCUGAACCACACAGAACUGCCAUGGCCUUUCUUCACCCAGUUCUAGUACCUGCUAUGCUUCAAAAAUCAGCUUGGCUCUGCCUCCUCAAGAAAUACCACAUCAAUCAGUCCAGUCCAUAUGAAAAUCAUAGAUGUGUAGAAUAUCUAAAUUCCAGAAACGGAAGGAACAUUCAAGAAUACCCAGCAACCCAGUCCUGUCAUUGGGCAGAUACGGGGGGAAAAACCUAAAUUUUUUGCAAGAUCAUAAAGCCAAUAAUUAGCAGACCUGGUUUUCAAGCAGAGAUUUGAGCACAGAGCCUGGGCUCUCCUUAGAAGAUCAUACAGUCUCCUUUAUUAAUUAAGUAAUAAAAAUCAUCAAAAAUUAGCGAAGAGAAAAAAAGGGCAACCUUUCACUAACUAGAUAAGUUCAAUUUAUACUUAGGUUUUUUCCCCCAUAUCGACCCAGUGACAGGACUGGGUUGCUGGGUAUUCUUGAAUGUUAUUAUAAAGAUUCAAUGAGAAAAUGGAAGCGAUUUCUCUAUUACAAUACCUUACAGACAGUAGGUGUUCAGUAAAUGUUAUGUAACUAACAGAUUGCUUAAUUUGCAUGCUUUAUUUUCCCAACCUGUGUACACUCUUUUAAGGCCUGAGUAGUAUUUUUCUUUUCAUUGUUUUACUCUCAUCAACUAACCCAGUAAUUACAUAUUAAGCACUUAAUACACAUUUUUCCAAUGAAUUUAACGUCUCCUUAGUUUUCUUCUUAUUAUUCUCUUACUUAAGUCUGUUCAUAAAGAACAUAAAGAAUCUGAGAGCUUCUAAGAGAACUACACUUAACAAGUGAAUACUCAUAUCAAAAAGUGUAACUAAAAAAUCAGGCAUUUUACCAUCUGAGGAAAAUGUAUGUGAAUACCAAGGAUUCAUUUAACAAUAUUCAUCAAGAAUUUAUUUGAAAGACUCUUUGAAUUGGUCAACAGGUCUUGCCAUUUUUCAUUUGCAAUAUUGGGGAGAAUUUUUCUCUGAAUAUGAUAUUGUUAAGCAUUGGAGUGAUUUAUAAAAUUACAUUUUAUUAACAUUUUUGUUAAAUCCUUAAAAGGGAAAAGAUUCUUACUUGUUUCUUACACUUCAGUGGUAGAACUUUUGUGUAACUAGACUAACAGUCUUAACAGAUUAAUGCCAGUUUUGCUACAUGGUAGUAACACUACAAAAAUAAACUGGUAACAUUAUCGUACAGACUUUUUGUGAAUAAUUUUGCAUGGUAUUUCUUUCGGUAUUGUUUUGUUACUUUGAAUGUAUAGCUUGGUAUCAUAAAAUUAAUAUAAUGACCCUAUAGAAUAUGUUAUAAAGAAAAUAAAGAUAUUAAUUGAUCUGCUACAAAAACUUGAAAUAGCUAUAAUUCUGUGUUUAGAAAUUGCACCAAUAUAAAUGAAUACAUUGAAUAUAGAAUAAAUAGUAAGUUUCAAAAUCAGUAAGUGAAAUAUUUGAUAUAUUAUCCUGUGCUUCUAAAUGCACAAAUGGCAGCUUAGGUAUUUAAAAUAUGUGGUACUAAGACAGUACCUGAGAUUGCAAACAUAAUGAUAUGUUUUCUUUUAAUGUAGACACUAAAUACAACAAAAACUCCUACAUUUUAAACCAAUGAUCAAGACAAAAAAAAAGUGUCAAAUGUAGUUUCACUAUCUUAUAGAAGGAAAAAGACACUUCUUAGGUUUACAGUGUCCUUUGUUGCCUCCUUUCAAACAUUCUGCUAUGUGAUACCAAGUGAAUUUUUCCCUAAGGUUAAGAAUGCAUGAGAGACAUUUUAAAAAUCAUAAAGUUCAUGGUCUUCCUAGUGUAGUAAUAGCUUCAAGAUGAUUUGAAGCCCAAGAAAUUUAAAAUAAAAAUGGUCAAACAUUAUUUUUUAUUGAGAGAAUAUUUUCUUCCCCAUACCAAUUGUCUAACCACUUCUAUUUAGUGAAAUACUAUAUGUAUUUAUAGAUACCUAGGCUAUGAAAAUCUUUUAUAAUAUGCUCUUAGAGUUUCCAAUAUUUUAGAUAUCUUUACUUCCACAUUGUGGGAAAAUUGUCAAUAAAGAUGUAUGCCCUUGAUGAGAAAAAGAUCAUAGCCUCACUAAGAAAUUACAAAGAAGAGAACUAACUCUCACAAUCCAUUAAAUCAAGAUGUCCUUUCCUAGGCCAAACACCUUGCUAUAAAUUCUAUCCCCAUUGUUACUUCCUAGAAAGAACAUUUGCUCUCCAUCACUACAAGAGCCUCUUCACUAUUUAUAGUGCUUAAGUCUCUGCCCCUCGCUCUAACAUUCAUGUCUCUAGGUGUUACUAACCCCCGUUUCUUUAGCCUUUUCUCCUAGGUCUCAUUUCUCCAGUUGUUAAUCAUUUUUAUUACCCCUCUUUGGUCUCUUUCCAAAUUCUCUUUAUCAUGACUCAGUUAGGGAUGUCAAAUGAAACCAACUAUGCUAAUAAAUAUUUGACCAGUGCUGGAGUUAAGAAGAAAAUGUGUUUAGUGAUUUAUAUAGACACUACUUGCCUGAAGUCUCCUUAGCUAAGGAUUAAAGACAAUGGAACUUGGAAUUCUUGAGGUUUGGUCUUAAAAAGAAAAUAAUAGGACAUUGUAAAACAGUAAGAGCUGAAACGGUGAAACUGAUUCAAACUGUGUAAGAGGCAAAACAAUGAGAACGAAAGAGAAAGAAAAUGUCAACACAAUGCCUUAUGGACAGAACCAGAAAUAAAAUGAGAGACUAAGAUAAAUAUCAAUAACCAGGAUGAUAGUGAAAUGCAAUGGGGGAGAGCUUAUAGUUGAAGUAUGUUCCUUCAUGAAUGUCAUGAAUGAAGCUGGAGUAUCUCAGGUUCAUCAUUAUUGGUCAUUUGCCUGUUUGUGUAGGUAGACAAGGCAGAUGGAAUCCAAUGUAUAUUUAAGGCAGAUAUUAUUUCAGUUGUAGCUAUAAUAUAUUUGGAUUAUUCCAUAUAAUAACUGCAGUUUUUUUUUCUCUUCAUUUGUUAACAACUUGUUUAAAGUUGAUUUCCUUGCAAUUAUUCCACAAAAAAUGGCAUGGCAAAAUUUUGAACUGUGUAAGGGAAAUCCUCCAUCUCCAAAUCUCUCUCAAAGAGACAUUUAUUUGAGAUUUUACCAAAAUAAGACAUUAUUUUACCAAUUCAAGACAAACAAAAUGAUACUUCUCUUCUUGCCUGUCAUAUGUAAACAUGAGGUUAGCAAUUUUAUCUGUUUUAUUCACUAUUGUAUCCCCAGUACCUUGAACAUUGUGGCAGCUCAAAAAACACAGUGGUGGCUCAAUAAAUGAGUGAACAGUAUUUUCCUCUACUUUCCCAUCUUGGUGAGUGGUGAUGCUCUACCAAGUUAAAGAUGCAAGACACAUACUUGACAGCCCUGAUUCCUAUGCCUUAUCUUCUUUUUCUUUUGUCAUUUUCAUAAAUGAUUUAAGUCUUUCAUAAAUGUUAACCUAUGCCUUAGUCUUUCCAUCUAGUCCUUCGACACAUCCAGAAAUGUCAACUCUUUAAUCUGAGCUCUCCUUUUAUUUCCUCACAUUUGACUUAUUUUGUGUCAUUUUAACUACUCACCUGAUUUACUAAAAUUGGCUUAGAACUCCCCUUUCUCACUGCAGAUAAUUUUCCAAAAUGCUAUCAAAAUAAUCAGAGCAGACUUUCUAAAAUAUAAAUAUGAUUGUCACACAUUCCAACUUUAACAGCUUUAUCAUAUUUGAAAUUUAGAAAAGCCACCAUAUCAGCACAUGAGCUCCUAGCUAUAUCUCCAGCUCAUUUCCCAGUUUUUCUUUCCUCUAGUCCUAUUUUACCAUCCCAUAUGCUAUAACCAUACAGAGGACUGUAGUCAUUAAAUAUCAUUAUGCUUUUAUAUAUGCUUUUUUUAAAUCCAUCUAAAAUCUUAAUACUUCUUUCUCUUAUUUUCUCUAAAUUCUCCUAUUCAAUUAAAAUUUUCCUCAGCAGCAGUUAACUCUGUUGACCACACAUUUCUGCUUACAACAUUUUUUUUCUCAUUUGGAGUUCUAAGAACUUACACUUUCUGACAUUUUCUCAUACUCCAAUAGCAGCUCUUCUGGGUGUCAUUUUGGGGUUUCACUUAUUCUAAUGUUUCAUCUAUGAAAAUAUUAAACACUGUGGGUCCCAGGGCCUGGAUCUAAAUCCUGCUUUUGUUUAAUUCUAUAUUCUCUUUGUGGCAUAUCUAAAUCCAAAGUGUAGUUUCAACUUCCUUUUUUUUCUUUAUCUUUUGAGAUUUCACUAAAUUAUAUUUGCCAAUUAGACAUGUGUAUUUAACUUGAUACAUCUUUUUGGAUAGCUCUCAGGCACUAUCCAAAGAUUUUAACUUGUAUUCAUUUGACUUGUUUUCUUGCACAUUUCAACCUUUUAGACAUGUAACAUCCUCUCAAUUACUCAUGCAAGAAACUCUGACACAAAUUCUUUUUCAUCUUACUCCUCUAACUUUUGUCUGUCCCCAUGGCCAACACCUCAGUUAAAACAUUAGUUUCUCACCCUCUCACCUAGAAUUUUAAUACCACCUCUUCCAGAGCCAAAGUUAACGUUUAAAAAUACAUACCUGAUUGUGUCACUUCACUUCUCAAAUCCUUUCUAUGUCUUUCCAUUGCUCUUAGUUUGAGAGAAAAAUGUGAACAUGGCUUAUAAGACCUAUCUCUAACAUUCUACUGCCCAGAUCCUUCCUUUUUUAUUGUUUUGCUCUUUCUCCUCUCUCCAUCUACUUCUUUCAGUUCCUUCAUGAUACUCAUAAUUCUAUUAAUUUGUAUUCUUUAGACCAAUGUUGAAUUUAGAAUAUAUCUCAAUUGAUUUUCUUUUCCUCCAAUAGUCCCUUAGGAACUUACCUCUCCCACUCUCUGGUCUUUGCUCACAUAAUUUUUCACUCUUUCUUCUGUCACACAGAUCCUUUACUAUGCCUAUCUCCUUCCUCUCCAGGCCUUUGUAGAUGUUAGUCCCUUUGUAUGAAAUAUCUUACUUGACAUUCUGACUACUUGUUUCUUCUUUCCAUCUUAGAUAUCAACUCAAUAUCUUUCUCUCAGAGUAGUUCUUUCUGAUCAUCCAAGCUAGAGUAGGCCUCCAACCCCAUCCAUUCCUUCCUAACAUUUUUCUCAGUUGUUUUCCUAACUUGUCACUAUGUAUUUAUGUGUCCACUCACCUGUUUCUUAACUGUCUCCCAUCUUAGAGUGAAAGCUACAGGAGGUCAGGGACCAUGUCUGUUUUGAUUAUCAUAUUGUACAGGCUAUUAAUAUUGGGUUUGGCCAAUAAAUAUUUAUUGAUUAAAUGAAUAAAUAUAGUUUUGUAGUUCCAGAUAUUAAAGUAAAUGUAAUAUACAUUGGCUCUUCUUGCAUCUCUAAAAUAAACAUAAUUCAAGCUGUGCAAGGAAAAUGUUUUGGUCCCUUUCUCCUGUUCAUAAGUUUACAAGCCACAUAGACCCUCAGAUCAUGGCACCAAUUUGGAGGGCCCUGGUUUUGCUCUUUAUCAGAUACUAAGAGCAAAGUUGCAGGAAAGUGUGAUGUCUUAUGCUCUUUGGCAUGUUAGACUCUGAGCAGAUGGAUUGGGUGGCAACCAGACUGAUUUAGACCCUCUCUGGAGUUCCAGGAGACAAGAAAUGGACUGAGGAAUGGCAGAGCUACAGUAUAGAAAACAUUCAUGGAUUGAGACAAUUUUCAUAGUAAAAUCUUAGAAAACUUAAACAAAAAAAAAUAUUACCUGAGUACUUCCACAUAAACUUAAUGAUGCCAUUCAGAGUAGGACCAUCAUUCUCUUUGUAUUACACUUGCUAGUAAUUCAAAAUUCAUCCCCCACAAUAUACUCUUUCUAGCUAAUGCUCAUUAAGAUAAUUCAUUUAUUUGAUAUCCUUUUGAUGCUUCAUAUUGGCAAAAUAUACAUCGUGUUAUAAAAAUGUACUAAUUUAAAAUAGUUUUAGAGAAAGUUAUAGUAUAUUAAAAAUAUUCUUCUGAGUCAGGAGAAUACCAUUUUGUGACUUUGAACAAAUGACUUACCUUGUCCAGGUCUCAGUUUGACCACUUAUAAAGCUUAUAUUCAAUCUUUUUUGUAUUUAUGAUUAUUUAAUGUUCUAAAACUAGGCCUGUACCUUUGUUGUAUUUUUUAUUUACUCUGAGCUGAGAAACUGUUCUCCCAAUUUUUGCUGUUCUGCUGUCCAUUAACUGGAAAACCUCAUGGCAUGGUAGUUGGGCCCUGAAGAUAGAAUGAUUUAGAAUCAGUUUUCCUAUUGUAUCUUCCACAGCAAUUUUACAGAAACUUUUUCCCCUGUAUUAGUUUCCUACUGCUGCUGUCACAAAUUAUGAUAAACUUAGUUGCUAAAAACACACACAGGCACACAAUUUUUUCCUCUUAUAAUUCUGGAGGUCUGAAGUCCAAAAUGUGUCAGCAUAGCUUCAUUUCUUCUGGGGGCUCUGAAGGAGAACCUGUUUUCUUGUAUUUUCCAGCUUAUAUUAGCCACCUACAAUCUUCAACUUUUAAUUCCUUCUUAAUCUUCAAAGUGCACAGUGUAACAACUUCAAAUGUCUCUCUCACUCUGAUCUCUGUUUUUGUCAUCACAGAUCAUCUUCUGAUUCUAUUAUGACCCUUCUAACCCUCUCUCAUAAGGACUCUAAUGAUUAUGGUUGAGUUCACCAGGUAAUUCUGAAAAAUCUCCCAACAGCAAAAUUUGUAAUGUAAUCACAUCUACAGAGCCCCUUUGUGCCAUGUAAAGUAACAUAUUUGCAGGUACCAGUGAUUAGGAGACAUUAGGACAUGGAGUCCAUUAUUUAGCCGAGAACAUUUUUCUUAUUUUUUUUCCCCAAAUAACCAAACUGGUGAGGGAUGCAUCUGACAACACAGUGCCAACUCAAAGAUAAUCUAACCGUCAUUAUUACUUCAUCUGUUGUUGAUACUCAGUCAAAUUACUUCUCUCAUUAUUUUACUGCUUUUAGUCAGCUGUAAGGCACACAGAACUCCAUGUACUAUGAAGAGCUUCUGUGGUUGAAGGUCACUAUUCAUUGAAGUCUGGAAUGUUGCUGAUAUUGCUGAUAGUAUGUACUAUUACCUACUGUAGGUCCAAGAAUAUCAGUGGCAAACUUUAAUUUGUGCUAAAUGUCUAUAUGAACAAUAAUUGAAGAAAUUCCUUAAGUAGAGACAUUUGAACACACAUGCAUGGAGAUGAAUGUCUUAAUUCAGUUCUAGAGUGUAUAUGACAUACAUUUCUAAUCUAAGCACAUAUGCCUUACAUUAGGAUGUUAGGAGUAAUUUUCGCUUUUUCUUCACUGAAAUCUAUAUAAAAUAUUACCCCAGUAUUAUUUGGAUUUUUUUAAUGUUCUGUUAAUAUAUUAUUUUCUUAUUUUUUAA